rnacentral:lncRNA from 1 species
CAGCGAAGUCUCUGAGACCUGAGCCUCUCAAGCGGCCACUUAGGGGCAGACAGAGGAGAUGACAUUCUUAGCAUCCUGACUGGCGUGAACUAUGACGUGAGCAAUAAAGACGACAGGAGGAACAAGGGAAAGCAGAUGACACAGCCCACCUUCACACUACGGAAGAAGCUCUUCUUCCCUCCCUAAUGAUGUGUGCUCUCCACAGUUCACAUGGCUUAUCUGUGCACUUUUGUGUGGAUGAGUCUAAUUUAUUUUUUAGGAUUUCUUUUGUUUUUUAGGUUACACUUACAUCAUUUCCCCUUUUCCUCCCUUCAAAUCCUUCUAUGUAAUGUUCCAAUUUCAAAUACAUGACCUCCUUUCUCAUUAACUGUUGUACACACACACACACACACACACACACACACACACACACACACAUUUCUAAAUAUAACCUACCCAGUUUGUAUACUGUCACUUAGAUGUAUGUUUUGUUUUGCUUUUUUAAAUUGGAGCAACCUUUGGUAGGCUAAUCACACUCCAAGGCAGGUCCCUCUCCCAAGAAUAGCUGGGCAACACAAACUGAAUUCCAUGGGUUCACCUUUAAUCCCAGCACUCUGGAGGCAGAGGCAGGAGGAUCUCUGAGUUCAAAGCCAACCUGCUCUACAUAGCAAGUUCUGAGAUAGCCAGGACUACACAGAGAAAGCUUGUCUUGAAAAAAACAAACUUGAAGAUGCAUGAGUAAGAAAGCAAGACUGGAACAUAAACCUGUUUAACAGAAUGGGUGAAUGACGGGAGCAGGGACCUGGGGCAAGUUAACAGAGUGGGUGAAAGAACAUGGACCUGAGACAAGUUAACAAAGGGGGUGAAUGAUGGGAGCGGGGACCUGGGGUGAGAAAGGGGUGAAUAUCAUCAGCAUUUUGCUGCAUGAAAUUCUCAGAGGUAAUAAAAAAUAUUAAACUUUUUUCUGUGCAGUAUCUAAUUCUUCCAGGUUAGUUUUUCAUUAGUCUCUGGGUAUUUCAUGUAGUCCUUCAGAGUGAGAGCUAUUAGGGAGCAUGGGGGAUAAUGGAAAGGAAAGGGUCCCCUUGUUUGUGGAGAGCAUUAACUGUAAAAACACUUCUGAGGCUAAGUGUGGUUAAGGGUUAGCCUGGACCAGGAUGAGGAGAUAGCUCAGUGGUUAAAGAACUUGCCAAGCAAACUCAAGGGCCUGAGUUCAGCUCCCAGGAACCAAUGUAAAUAGCGAUGGGCGAUGGGCAUGUUGUCCCUCCUAUAAUUGCUACUGCACUGGGAGGGUGGGGAUAAGAUUCCUGGUGCAAGCUGUGUAGCCAGACCAGUGGUAUCGGAGGACAGCUAUAGGUUCAAUCGAGAGCCCCUGCCUCCCUGAUUAUGGUGGAGAUUGAGGAAGACUGCAUGCAUGUGCCUGCCAAAGCAUGUGUGUGCUCACACAUGUACUUAUGCACAUGUGAGCAUGCAUGUCAGCUCUCCUUACAUGCCUACACAUGAGCAAAAGUUAAACUCGCCAAUGUUAACAUUUCUGUUAUAUCUUCAAUGAAUGGGGGGCUGGUGAGGUGGCUCAUCGGGUAAGGGGGCUUGCUGCACAGACUGGUAACAAGGUUUGAUCCCUGGGACCAAAAUGAUGAAAGAAUUGGCUCCCAUAAGUUUUCCUCUGACCUCCAAAGCACACUCUCUCCAUACAUGCAACGUGUGACUGGAUAAGUAGAUGUAGAUAAAUUUAAGGAAAAUGAGGCCAGUUGUGGUGGACCACACUGAGCACUUGGGAUGUAGAGGCAGGAGGGUCUGGAGUGUAAGGUCAUCUUCAGCUAUAUAACCAGUUUGAGGCCAGCCUGAGCUACAUUUGACCCUGGUUUGUUUGGUUUUUUCCCUUAAAAAAAGGAGUAAAAAUUAUUUUUGUUAGUUUUUAGGUAACUUACAGGUUUUUACUUAAUGUACUUCUAGCUAAUAGUCCAUCAGGAAAUUCUGUUUUUGUUUAUUUUCUAGAAGUAUUUAUAAAAGACGGUUUUAUUUAUGUUUUGUAGGAUAAUAACAUUAAAACAAAACUUAUUUUCUAAAACAAGUAUUUUAUUGUGAAAAAUUUCAUAAAUAUACAAAAACUAAAAGCAAUGGCAGCAUGGUGAAGCCACAUGCUUACAGCCUCCAACAUCAACAUCUGUGCUGUGCUCUGUCCUCCCUGACUGUAUCCUCACCUGCCUGCCUUACUCCCUCACUUGGAGGCUCUGACUUGGGUCCAUGGAGGUGGAAUAUUCUUACAUAUGAAUAGUUUAGAGACCCAAGUGUCUCUAAGGAUGAGGUACGUUUUAGAUAGCCAAAGCAAUUUUGAACAUUAAAUACCAGUCAGUGUUAAAAAUCUCCCGAUCUUCUUGCAUUCUUACAGUCUGUUUGAAUCAGGAUCUAGCAGGAUCUCUAUCUUGAAUUUUGUUUGUUUUUCAAAUUCCAUAUUAAUGUAUAGGGUUAUUUUUAUGUUUUCAUAUAGCUUUUUAAAAGAAACUGAGUUGUUCUACGCAUUACUCUUUAGUAUAUAUUUUAUUGAAUCUGUACCUAUAAACUUUUAUAUUCCCUGUUCCCUCCUAAGUAAACUGUCAGUGAGACAAAAGCUGUAUUGUUUUGUUUUGUUUUAAGAAAAAUAGAUUUACCUUACUGUUUCUAGGGGAUCCUUUUGUUUGUUUUUGCUUUGUUUGUUUUUUUGUUGUUGUUGUUUUGUUUUACAAUUGGC